GAUGAACGCUGGCGGCGUGCCUAAUACAUGCAAGUCGAGCGAACGGACGAGAAGCUUGCUUUUCUGAUGUUAGCGGCGGACGGGUGAGUAACACGUGGACAACCUACCUAUAAGACUGGGAUAACUUCGGGAAACCGGAGCUAAUACCGGAUAAUAUUUUGAACCGCAUGGUUCAAAAGUGAAAGACGGUCUUGCUGUCACUUAUAGAUGGAUCCGCGCUGCAUUAGCUAGUUGGUAAGGUAACGGCUUACCAAGGCAACGAUGCAUAGCCGACCUGAGAGGGUGAUCGGCCACACUGGAACUGAGACACGGUCCAGACUCCUACGGGAGGCAGCAGUAGGGAAUCUUCCGCAAUGGGCGAAAGCCUGACGGAGCAACGCCGCGUGAGUGAUGAAGGUCUUCGGAUCGUAAAACUCUGUUAUUAGGGAAGAACAUAUGUGUAAGUAACUGUGCACAUCUUGACGGUACCUAGUCAGAAAGCCACGGCUAACUACGUG
rnacentral:rRNA from 1 species